UCAAAGAAUUUGAAGACUUCAACUUGCAGACUCAAAGAAUUUGAAGACUUCAACUUGCAGACUUAAAGAAUUUGAAGACUUCAACU
rnacentral:pre_miRNA from 1 species